CACCGCCUUGCGACUAAAUAUGGUACCAACUUAACGCAACGAGUUAACGAACUCAUUCUGUUAUUGUUCCGUGAUCGAUGAUCAUUCGUUGAAGUUCGUUGAAUGUUGAACUGUGCUUGUGAUAAUAUUUGUUCUUCUGGAGGCCUAUUCUGUAACUUUUAACAAAUGCGUUAUAACUGUAACGCAUGCGUUAGUCGUCGUAUCGUCGACGAAUUCAUGGUUAACAAAUGAAUUAUAGUUAUAACGCAUGCGUUAAAAGUUACAGAAUAAGUCUGCUGGAUCGAUUGCUAUUCUAAUAAAGAAGUCAUCACCAACAAAAAUGAGUGAAAGUCCACCGUUUAUUAUCAAAAUUUAUUACAUAACAUUAUUGUGAAUGCAGUAUAAGCAAUAUAUUUUAGUACUGAUGUUGUUCUUGUAUUAUUUUUACAUCUAUCAUAGGAAAGUAGGAAUCGUCGUAGAAAUACGAACAAGCAAAUAAUUAAUGAAUUAGUUAGGCAAUGUAGGAAUCAAAGAAAAUUGGACGAUUUAAGAAAUCGAAUUACUACUGUCUACAAGACAGAGGCUUCAUCCGAUGAAGAGGUUUCAUCCGAUGAAGAGGUUUCAUCCAAUGAAAAGGUUUCAUCCGAUGAAGAGAAUAAUGAAAUGCUGCCCAUUCCAGGGAUUGAAGAUAUUUUUUUAUUAGAAACAAAUUCUGAAGUAUCAACAGAAUCUGAUGCAUCUAUCGAUCAACUUGAAAAUGAAAAUAUGGAUGAUAACAAUAAUUAUAAUAAUGACAAUGACAGUGAAUUACAUUUUGAAGAUGAGAAUAAUGACAGCGAAGGAAGUGUUGAAAUUAAUGAUGCUAACAGAUAUAGUAACGAUGAAGAAAAUGAUGAUUUAAUGAUUGAAUUUGAAAAUGACGAACAGAGAGGACGCUAUGUUUUAAAAACAUUGAGGGAGUGGGCCCUUGAAGGAGGUGUGUUAUCUAUGAAGAAGUUAAAUGAUUUACUUCGUAGAUUGAGAGUAUUGUUUCCCAUCUUACCUAAAAGCUACAAAACCGUUAGGUGAUAAUAAAAAAAUUGUAGCAUCAAGACUUAUGACCAAAUUGAUGACUAAUUCCUUAGCGAAACAAUUCAACUUUGAUGGUCAUAAUCCUCAAAAGGCUAAAGUUAAUAAAAGGCCAUUUAAGAAACUGAAACUAUGGGAAUUAUUUCAAGGAGUUAUGCUAUUAAAAUUUCCUACCAGUGAUUUGGAAGAUGCCUUAAAUGCAGUCAGAAAUUGGCUACGAAACGCUGCUGGGCGUAAGCAAUAAAAUGUGCAAUUUCAUUUUUUUUAUUUUUAACAGAAUCUAAUGUAUAAGAAAAGCAGAGGUAAAAAGUGCUCGCAUACGAGAAUAUUGCGUUGUGAUAUCUUAUUAUUCUUAGACGACUCUUUACAAGGUCUUUUUCUCGAUACAAAUUAGCACGGGGGAGGUUUCCCAUUAAAAGGGAAGAGGUCAUUUAAUAUUCGUCAUAAAAUGCAAUUAAUUAUUUUUUUUUCUUGAAUGUGAAAUAUGAUCUCUAUUCAUGUGCAAUUUGCGAAGUCUUAUGUCAUUUUUAUUUUGUUAUUGUAUUUUUGAUAUUGCUGCUUUAUUUUGAAUAUUAUUUGUCUUAUUUUUUAUUUAUGUAACUGAUAAGACAUUGUCAGGUUUAAAUUUGAUUUGAAUUAUUACAUAUAAAAGUUUUUAGUUGAAGUAUGUAUAUGUAGAAUAUA